rnacentral:lncRNA from 1 species
AUAUAUAUAUACAUCUUCUACUCCAUCUCUGCAAAUUUUACAAAGCAAAAACUAUACUUCGAGAUAACCAAGUUUUUCUCUCUAACUGCAGAUCAAUCAACAUGGUAUUAAUUUUCAAUCUAUGAAAUUUCUAUUUCAGUACAAUUUAUCAUUUCCUGUUUUUACAUCUCUACAACUACAAGUAUUUCUCUGAACAUUCUAUAUAUAUUCAGAAAAAUCACAAGCACACACCUAUUCACUAAUCAAACUCCCUUUCCGUAAAAUUUGACAACCACAGCAGCAAAACUUUGAUUUCAAAUCUUGAUUUUUUCCUUCCACAGCAGGAUUUCUUUCACACUUCAAAUCUUUGACGAAUACUCAAAUUCACAAAUUCGAUUUUUACUCCUCAACCACGAUAUUUCAAUCCAGUAUAUAUAUGUAUAUCUAAUCUUCUUCAUCGCAAAUACCCAACAAAAUCCAACAGGAAAAAGUCUUUUAUAAUUCAUCAUGUUUCCUUCCCACUGCCGAAUCUCCAUCGGUAAUUCUCAAAAACUUGUAUAGUUUAUUUUCAUAUGCAAAGAUUUCUGCUUUCUUUCAAUUUACAGAAAACAACCAAACUUCCACAAAAUUCUUGUUUUUUUAUAAAUUUAAACAUGCAUAUACAGAUAUUAAAUUGAUCGAAAUCAUAUUCACUGUUUUACAAAAAGAAAAGAAAAUAGAA